GGGGUUCCUGGGGAUGGGAUUUGCUGUAAGUCACAAAUCACAUUGCCAGGGAAUUCCAA
rnacentral:pre_miRNA from 1 species